UGGGGAAUAUUGCACAAUGGGCGCAAGCCUGAUGCAGCCAUGCCGCGUGUGUGAAGAAGGCCUUCGGGUUGUAAAGCACUUUCAGCGAGGAGGAAGGUGGUGAGCUUAAUACGCUCAUCAAUUGACGUUACUCGCAGAAGAAGCACCGGCUAACUCCGUGCCAGCAGCCGCGGUAAUACGGAGGGUGCAAGCGUUAAUCGGAAUUACUGGGCGUAAAGCGCGCGCAGGCGGUUUGUUAAGUCAGAUGUGAAAUCCCCGGGCUCAACCUGGGAACUGCAUUUGAAAACUGGCAAGCUAGAGUCUCGUAGAGGGGGGUAGAAUUCCAGGUGUAGCGGUGAAAUGCGUAGAGAUCUGGAGGAAUACCGGUGGCGAAGGCGGCCCCCCUGGACGAAGACUGACGCUCAGGUGCGAAAAGCGUGGGGAGCAAAACAGGAUUAGAUACCCUGGUAGUCCACGCUGUAAAACGAUGUCGAUUUUGGAGGUUGUGCCCUUGAGGCGUGGCUUCCGGAGCUAACGCGUUAAAUUGACCGCCUGGGGAGUACGGCCGCAAGGUU
rnacentral:rRNA from 1 species